GAUGAACGCUGGCGGCGUGCCUAAUACAUGCAAGUCGAGCGAAUGGAUUAAGAGCUUGCUCUUAUGAAGUUAGCGGCGGACGGGUGAGUAACACGUGGGUAACCCGCCCAUAAGACUGGGAUAACUCCGGGAAACCGGGGCUAAUACCGGAUAACAUUUUGAACCGCAUGGUUCGAAAUUGAUAGGCGGCUUCGGCUGUCACUUAUGGAUGGACCCGCGCCGCAUUAGCUAGUUGGUGAGGUAACGGCUCACCAAGGCAACGAUGCGUAGCCGACCUGAGAGGGUGAUCGGCCACACUGGGACUGAGACACGGCCCAGACUCCUACGGGAGGCAGCAGUAGGGAAUCUUCCGCAAUGGACGAAAGUCAGACGGAGCAACGCCGCGUGAGUGAUGAAGGCUUUCGGGUCGUAAAACUCUGUUGUUAGGGAAGAACAAGUGCUAGUUGGAUAAGCUGGCACCUUGACGGUACCUAACCAGAAAGCCACGGCUAACUACGUGCCAGCCGCCGCGGUAA
rnacentral:rRNA from 1 species